UAUAUAUAAAAUUAAAUCCAUAUGAUACUUUAGGUCUAAUAAAAUUGAAAUAAUCAAAUUUAUCCCUUUAAGAUAAAUUCAGUUAUUGAGAAUGACGAAUUUGACAUGCUUGAAUAUUUUUAAGUGCAAUUCAAUUUUUCCGGAAUUUUGCUGUCCUUUUCUUGACACCAGACUUAGUCCAUAAAUAGUCCCAACGCGAGCAUGCGCUCUCGGCCUUUUCAUUUUCAUCCUCGGGCAAGUGCAGACGAAUUCCAGGCGAUCAAGAAAAAAUCCAAUUAAAUCGGCUAAGAUGAGUACGGGAAUGUUAAGAGCGGGAUCUACUAGGCGCUCUAAAACCAGAUCGCCUUAUGCCAGACCACCGGCUCGGGCAGAAGUCCCUGUAGCUCGCCCGUCACAACCUUGCAAUUCCUCGCUGACGAGUGCACGUCCUACACAGCAGCAUCAAUCCAGCCAAUCCACUUUAAGUGCUGACAUACAUCAAGAUGCACCCGGGGUCAUUCCAUUACACACCACGCAGCCCACCAUCACCCCAGAUGUUUAUCUUCAAGAAAACGCUAGGCCUGCAGUGGCUAUACCUACUGAAAAUGUACCACACCAAACAGGUACGCAUGUAAACCCUCUUGUUAGUAUCACGGCAGAUCUUGGGGCUAACAUUCCAUUGUCAUUACAGGAAAAAAUAUGGAAUAAUGAUUAUAUAGAUCUUGCCAAGCUAUUGCAUUUAGAUCCUGCAGCUGAAACCCAACAACUUCUUGUGUUUGAAGAUGGUCAAAUCAAAAUUAAAAACAAAUCUAAAGAUAAAAAA